rnacentral:misc_RNA from 1 species
GCCGUCAGCAUAACGGGAACACUCUUUGCAAGAGACGGAGAGUUGCGCACCUGGUCUUGGGUAGCAGGCCAUUGAGAUCCCGUUCCAUCCAGCAACUUGACCCCCUUCCCAUUCUGCGGCAGCGCCGGCUUCGUCGAAGUCUUGACCAUGUACUCGACCGCGACCGGUCCAUUCGAGUACCUCCCUCCGUAC